rnacentral:rRNA from 1 species
UACGUAGGGUGCAAGUGUUGUCCGGAAUUAUUGGGCGUAAAGAGCUCGUAGGCGGUCUGUCGCGUCGGCUGUGAAAACUCGGGGCUCAACUCCGAGCUUGCAGUCGAUACGGGCAGGCUAGAGUUCGGCAGGGGAGACUGGAAUUCCUGGUGUAGCGGUGAAAUGCGCAGAUAUCAGGAGGAACACCGGUGGCGAAGGCGGGUCUCUGGGCCGAUACUGACGCUGAGGAGCGAAAGCGUGGGGAGCGAACAGG